rnacentral:misc_RNA from 1 species
UUUGCUGGCUUCCUUCAGUGGAUGGUCUGCUCCCCUUAAAUGCAUUAGUGGGAUCUCUUGUGGACCGUCACUUGGUGUGAUAAUUAUCCUACCCCAACGUUGACUUUGAAGCAAAACUUAUGGGAACCCGCUCAUAACCGUCUUCGGACAACUCUUGACAUUUUGACCUCAAAUCAGGUAGGACUACCCGCUGAACUUAA